rnacentral:rRNA from 1 species
UACGUAGGGUGCAAGCGUUGUCCGGAAUUAUUGGGCGUAAAGAGCUCGUAGGCGGUUUGCCGCGUCGGCUGUGAAAACCUAGGGCUCAACUCUGGGCUUGCAGCCGAUACGGGCAAACUAGAAUUCGGUAGGGGAGACUGGAAUUCCUGGUGUAGCGGUGAAAUGCGUAGAGAUGUGGAGGAACACCGAUGGCGAAGGCAGCCCCCUGGGCUGAGAUUGACGCUCAGGCACGAAAGCGUGGGGAGCAAACAGG